GCAGAUAAAUGAUUAAGAACUAUAUGUAUACUGGGAGUUUCCUGGUGGCCGAGUGGUUAGGAUUCCAGGCUUUCACUGCUGGGGCCUGGGUUCAGUCCCUGGUUGGGAAGCUGAGAUGCCUCAAGCCAGGUGGCACCGUGCCCCACCCCCCACCCCCAUCCCCGCGCCAAAAAGAAAGAACUAUAUGUAUAGACAAAGAUCACACAAAUUGCUAAAGGGGCAAAAAAUACAGUAUUAAAAAAAAAAAAGAUAUGAAAAUAGUGUCUCCAUCUGAUCUUGCCCUCCAAUCCUUCACAGGCAAACACUGUUACCAGCUUGAAUCCCUCCAAAGACAUUCCAUGCUAAGUCAUCCAAUAUAUUUGUAUAUUCUUUUUAAAAUAUAAAUUAAAUCAUUAUUAUUAACAUCCUGCAUUUUGACAGUUUUUUUCAUAUCACAGAGAGCUGCACAUCAGUACAGUAAGCUCUGUCUAAUUUUAAAAAUAACCACACAUAUCCUCUUUAAUGGAAUCCAUCAUUAUUUAAGUGGUCAUCUAUCAAUGAUUUGUUGUUUUGUUUCCAUUUCAAGUAAUGCCUAAUUACUUUGUAUAUACUUUCUUGUGCACACAUGACCACUAAUUUCAUAGGAAUUAUUUCUAGAAUCGCUGAAGCAGAGGUUAUGUGCAUGUUUUUUAUUAUUUUCAUUUUUUAAAUUUUCUUUUUAAAAAUUUGACCACGGAUGGAACCCACGCCCCCUGCACUGGAAGCAUGGCGUCCUAACCGCUGGACCGCUAGGGAAGUCCCACUACGUGCAUUUUUAAUUCUAAAAGGCACUACCCUAAUUUCCUUACCAUAAAUUGCACUAAUUUACAGAGAAUGGGAAUGCCUGUUUAUGUUCUUAAAGGACUGUCCAAUCUGCACAUCAAUCAUCUCAUAUAAACCUUGCAACACUCUCAAGAGGAGAAAUGGGAGCUAUUACAAUUAUCACCCUUUUAGAAAUAAGGAAACCGAGGCCCGGUAGCUCCUGGGCCAGCUCCCAUCUCCACAUCUUUCUCCCUCCGGCCGGCCCGGCUCGGCCCGGCCUGGGACGAGUCACCAGCCAGGGCAUCCCCUCCUCAGGAUAAAUUUUCAAACGGCAAGACGAAACGCUCCGAAGACCGCGACCCCCCCUCUUCACCUCGCUUCCCAGACGCCUCAGAGCCGCGGCUACCAAGAGAAACUACCUUUCGGCCUCCACGGCCUCUCCUACCCCGGCAGCACCCAGAAAGGGCCCAGGCCGGCCGGGGAACGUGGAGGCUCAGAACCGACUGCGACGCUGGGGCGCCAUCUUGCGUCCGUUCCUCUGGCCGUCGGGUGACAGUCUAGAAACCACAUUUCCCAGUGUGCCUAGCGCCGCUGCGCAGGCGCGAAGAUUCCCCCCUGCCCCCGUUUCCAUAGGAACCUUACCCUCCCGGGUGCCGGCGGCUAGACUCUGAGGAGAGUCGGUUGUCGGUCUCUCUGUGGUGCCCCGACGCCAGGACCUGGUCCAUAGACUGUUGAGGGGGCAAAAUAGGAGCCCGAGGGAAGGAGACCAGGUGGCCCUGCCUUCGGGCUGGGGCCAGCGCUUCCCAAUUCUCCUCAGCCUCCGGGCCUCCGCGUUCUGAGGCGAAAGGAGCCGGGUUGGCGAGACCAAGUCAGGCACUGGUCCGCGCGGCCCUGCUGGUCCCACUCAGCGCUUUGUCACCCCCUGCCAAGAGCCUGCACCCCGCCGACAGAUGUGAGGUGGUGCAGGACGUCUGGGCGCCACAAAUGCUCCUUUUCCUGGAGGUGUGACCCAAAGUGAGCUGUUACGCCAUCUCUCCGGUAACGUGUGCUCCCACCUGGGAUCCUGCACUUCCUCUCUGCCCUGCUUCUCCAGUUUGCUCUACUCCACUGGCUGCAGGCAGAUUCUUUACCAACUGAGCUAUGAGGGAAGCCCAGAGGACCUCAGAUAAAUGCUCAGCGGGCUGGGCCAGAGAGGGUGCAGGUUUCAAAACAGGAAUUGAACAGGAUCCUGCUUCAGAAGCCGGUUGUCGUAGGUUCUGCGGCGCUGAAGCGGAGGCCUGGGGCCUUUAGACUCUGUAGCUGGUCACAAUGGCAAGCAAAGGAGGGUACAUCCUGCUCGGGCUCCUGUUCUUCCUGGCUGUCCUCUGCCAACUAGGUCACAGCCUGCAGUGCUACAGCUGUGUUAACCAAGUGGACUGCGCUACAGCCAUCAACUGUUCACAGAAUCAAGAUGCUUGUCUCUACGCUAAGGCUGUGCCGCUAAAAUUUUACCACCAGUGUUGGAGGUAUCAAGAUUGCAAUUUUGAGUUCAUUGCAAGAAGCUUAGGGGAGAAGCAGCUCCAGUAUCACUGCUGCCAGAAGAACCUGUGUAACAAAAGUGACAGGACGAGUAUAUCCGAGAAGACACCACUGCUGGUCACUCUGUUGCUAGUGGCAGUCUUCCGCUUUUAUCUCUAAAUCUAUGCCAGGAGGGCUUCUCCUGCAUGUCCUGUUUCUAUAUAUUCCUUCCUUCAUGUGAUGCUGUGUUCUAAAGGCUUUUUGUUUUCCAAUUGGAUCCUGUUGGAAAAGACUAAAACUAGCUUGAGCAACUUGAAUAAUAGAGGAACUCAGAAAGACUCUGAAGACCAGUCCUGUUGGCAGAGAAGACCUGUUUGAGUUGAAAAAAGUUAAGAGUGAACUGCAUGUAAUUUGAGUGAGUUGACAUGCUUCUUACUCUGCACUUCGUGGGGCCAGCUUUGCAGGGACAGCUUGAGUAGCUACUCUGCAAUCCUUAGACAUUUCCCUCUGGUUCCUUGGAUGUAAUUAGCGUGAUCAGUACUUUCUUGGGGUAGCUGGGGCAAGGGUCUCCUUUUCAACAGUUUCUCUCAGAAGGAAUGCUUUAUGCUCGCCUUUCAUGGCGCUUGUAUUCAGGUAGGCAUGAUGCAUCUUUCAGAUGUGGGUUGUCAGUCAGGGACAAUGAAAUUCUUAAAGAAGAGUAGUGGGAAUGACUAUUGUAUUCUCAGCUGCCUGGGAAGGAGGUAAACUUUCCAGAUGGCAGAGCAUGGAAACACAAGGUUUGUCUUUCAAGAGGUACCAGUGGCUCAAAUCUGUUUUCCUCUGUCCCUCAAUUUUGUAUUGGCUUUGCUGUCUUUCGCUAGAAAAACUCAGUAGCAUAAAUGAACAGCGUGUUAAAACUCUCCCUUCCACUGCCUACCUUUUCUAUUGACAUGGUAGGCUGUCUUGGCUUUGUCACACACAGUUAAAAACUAAACAUUUGAAUAUUCUGUGUUACAUAUGACUUGCAGUUAUUAAGUAUGCUUAUUUUAACUGUUACUGGUAGGAACACUCUUCAUGUGUGUAUGUAUAAUGAGUGACUGGAACAGGAGGGGCCUUUGGGGUUAGGAUUUGAAAAGUUGCAAACGUCAUCAUGAACAGUAGCAGGCCUGCAGGGAUGUGUUUACCUGCCGACACACAGCCAGUAGGCUCCUAGCUGAGUCAGCACAGAUUGUGUAAAAUACAUUUGUAGGGGCUAUUAGCAUCAUCACAAAUGCUGAGGCUUUCAGAAGCAUUAUCAGUUUGCUAAAAAGUGCCCACCUUUUCAGGAGGACAAAAUUUUGCCUUUUUUCUUGUGGGUACUGGUGAAUAAGAUUCAGUAGACUUAAUGACAUUUGUAUGCUUACAAUCUUGGCUGUAUGUAACAGCAUAGCUUGACUUUUACAGAUAAAGGUGAAAUUUCUUGAUUUUUUUUUUAAAUCUUUGUUUUUGUGAUGUGCUGGACAGACUGAAAUGAAUCCUGCCUUUUUUCUGAAAAUAAAAUCUCAUCAAAUGCAAAAAAAAAAAAAAA